rfam:Streptomyces yokosukanensis strain DSM 40224 genomic scaffold PRJNA299221_s027, whole genome shotgun sequence.
CUUCAGCGACCCCAGCCACAGCGGGCUGCCCGGGUCGCGGUCCUGGCCGUAGGUGGCCAGCAGCGCCUCCGCCUC